rnacentral:rRNA from 1 species
GCAAGUCGAACGAGAAAGCUUCUUCGGAAGCAAGUAGAGUGGCGCACGGGUGAGUAACGCGUAAGUUAUCUACCCUCCCAUCUGGAAUAACUCACCGAAAGGUGUGCUAAUACCGGAUACGUUGGAAACAAGAAAGGUGGCCUCUAUUUAUAAGCUACCGUGGGGAUGAGCUUGCGUACCAUUAGCUAGUUGGUAGGGUAAUGGCCUACCAAGGCAACGAUGGUUAGCGGGUCUGAGAGGAUGAUC